UGCCAGCAGCCGCGGUAAUACGGACGGUGCAUGCGUUGUUCGGAAUUAUUGGGCGUAAAGAGCAUGUAGGCGGACUGUUAAGUCUGAUGUGAAAGCCCGGGGCUCAACCCCGGAAGUGCAUUGGAUACUGGCAGUCUUGAGUAUGGGAGAGGAAAGUGGAAUUCCGAGUGUAGGGGUGAAAUCCGUAGAUAUUCGGAGGAACACCAGUGGCGAAGGCGGCUUUCUGGACCGAUACUGACGCUGAGACGCGAAGGCGUGGGUAGCAAACAGGGUUAGAUA
rnacentral:rRNA from 1 species